rnacentral:rRNA from 1 species
CCUACGGGUGGCAGCAGUGGGGAAUAUUGGACAAUGGGGGCAACCCUGAUCCAGCCAUGCCGCGUGUGUGAAGAAGGCCCUCGGGUUGUAAAGCACUUUCAGUGAGGAAGAACGCCUGGUGGUUAAUACCCAUCAGGAAAGACAUCACUCACAGAAGAAGCACCGGCUAACUCCGUGCCAGCAGCCGCGGUAAUACGGAGGGGGCGAGCGUUAAUCGGAAUUACUGGGCGUAAAGCGCGCGUAGGUGGCUUGAUAAGCCGGUUGUGAAAGCCCCGGGCUCAACCUGGGAACGGCAUCCGGAACUGUCAAGCUAGAGUGCAGGAGAGGAAGGUAGAAUUCCCGGUGUAGCGGUGAAAUGCGUAGAGAUCGGGAGGAAUACCAGUGGCGAAGGCGGCCUUCUGGACUGACACUGACACUGAGGUGCGAAAGCGUGGGUAGCAAACAGGAUUAGAUACCCGUGUAGUC